GAUGAACGCUGGCGGCGUGCCUAAUACAUGCAAGUCGAGCGAACGGACGAGAAGCUUGCUUCUCUGAUGUUAGCGGCGGACGGGUGAGUAACACGUGGAUAACCUACCUAUAAGACUGGGAUAACUUCGGGAAACCGUAGCAAAUACCGGAUAAUAUUUUGAACCGCAUGGUUCAAAAGUGAAAGACGGUCUUGCUGUCACUUAUAGAUGGAUCCGCGCUGCAUUAGCUAGUUGGUAAGGUAACGGCUUACCAAGGCAACGAUGCAUAGCCGACCUGAGAGGGUGAUCGGCCACACUGGAACUGAGACACGGUCCAGACUCCUACGGGAGGCAGCAGUAGGGAAUCUUCCGCAAUGGGCGAAAGCCUGACGGAGCAACGCCGCGUGAGUGAUGAAGGUCUUCGGAUCGUAAAACUCUGUUAUUAGGGAAGAACAUAUGUGUAAGUAACUGUGCACAUCUUGACGGUACCUAAUCAGAAAGCCACGGCUAACUACGUG
rnacentral:rRNA from 1 species